rnacentral:rRNA from 1 species
AUUGAACGCUGGCGGAAUGCUUUACACAUGCAAGUCGAACGGUAGAGGGGGGAACCCCUUGAGAGUGGCGAACGGGUGAGUAAUAUAUCGGAACGUGCCCAGUCGUGGGGGAUAACGUAGCGAAAGUUACGCUAAUACCGCAUACGAUCUACGGAUGAAAGCGGGGGACUCGCAAGAGCCUCGCGCGAUUGGAGCGGCCGAUACCAGAUUAGGUAGUUGGUGGGGUAAAGGCUCACCAAGCCAACGAUCUGUAGCUGGUCUGAGAGGACGACCAGCCACACUGGAACUGAGACACGGUCCAGACUCCCACGGGAGGCAGCAGUGGGGAAUAUUGGACAAUGGGCGAAAGCCUGAUCCAGCCAUGCCGCGUGUGUGAAGAAGGUCUUCGGAUUGUAAAGCACUUUAAGUUGGGAGGAAGGGUAGUAACCUAAUACGUUGCUACUUUGACGUUACCGACAGAAUAAGCACCGGCUAACUUCGUGCCAGCAGCCGCGGU